CCUACGGGAGGCAGCAGUGGGGAAUAUUGCACAAUGGGGGAAACCCUGAUGCAGCGACGCCGCGUGAGUGAAGAAGUAAUUCGUUAUGUAAAGCUCUAUCAGCAGGGAAGAAAAUGACGGUACCUGAGUAAGAAGCCCCGGCUAACUACGUGCCAGCAGCCGCGGUAAUACGUAGGGGGCAAGCGUUAUCCGGAUUUACUGGGUGUAAAGGGAGCGUAGACGGCAGUGCAAGUCUGGAGUGAAAGGCGGGGGCUCAACCCCCGGACUGCUCUGGAAACUGUACGGCGUGAGUGCAGGAGAGGUAAGUGGAAUUCCUAGUGUAGCGGUGAAAUGCGUAGAUAUUAGGAGGAACACCAGUGGCGAAGGCGGCUUACUGGACUGUAACUGACGUUGAGGCUCGAAAGCGUGGGGAGCAAACAGGAGUAGAUACCCCUGUAGUC
rnacentral:rRNA from 1 species